AUAGAGAGAGAAAGAGAACCAGGACAGGUUUUUCAAAACCCUACAACUUCACUGUUUUGCAAAAUCCCCAAAACCCUGCAACUCCUCUGUUUCCUCUGUUUUGCAAAACCCUGCAACUCCUCUGUUUUGCAAAACCUUCAAAGUUCUUUUUUUAUACAACAAUGGCGGAUGAAAAAGCAGCACUCAUAUCCCCACAAACCGUAGCAAAUGCAAAAUUAAUCGUAUCCACAGCAGCUUCUCUUGCUGCUUCGGCUGUGCUUAUCCGUGCCAUUGUUAAUGAUUUCUUACCUUCCCAAUUCCACACCUACCUAACUUCCCGUUUCCAUUCACUUUCUAGGCGAUUUUCUUUUCAGCUAACCAUUGUUGUUGAAGAAUUCCAAGGUUUUGCCAUUAACCAAGUGUUUGAAGCUGCUGAAAUCUAUCUGGGUUCUUUGUCAAACAUCUCGGUUCAAAGGAUUCGAGUCGGAAAGACUGAGAAUGAAAUGGACUUGGCAGUCAGUGUGGAUAGCAAUGAAGAGGUUGUUGAUGUUUUUGAGGGUAAAAAAUUCAAGUGGAAAUUGAUAACCACACAAGUUGAAGCAUCAUCAAGGAGUGGUAGAAACCAAGAGAUGGGGGAUCUGAAUUCUUCUCUGAGAUCUGAGGUGAGAUCUUUUGAGCUUACUUUCAACAAGAAACACAAAGAAAAAGUUUUCAAAUCAUAUUUUCCAUACUUAUUGGAAAGAGCAAAAGCCAUUAGAGAACAGAGGAAAACAGUGAAGAUUCACAAUUUUAAUCCGUGGGAAUGGUGCUAUCAGUCAUUCAAUCUCAAUCACCCUAUGAAUUUCGAUACCAUCGCGGUGGAUUCCGAGCUUAAGAGGGAAUUUCUGGAGGAUUUGGACAACUUUAUCAAUGGGAAAGAUUACUACAAGAAGAUUGGGAAAGUUUGGAAAAGAGGGUACUUGUUGUAUGGUCCUCCAGGUACAGGGAAGACCAGCUUGAUUGCUGCAAUGGCUAAUCACCUUAAGUUUGACAUCUAUGACUUGGAUCUGAAUAAUAUUCAAGGCAAUACACAGCUAAAAAAUAUGCUGCUUAGCAUUUCUAGCAGAUCAAUAAUUGUGAUAGAGGAUAUAGAUUGUUCUAUCAAGUUGCAGAACCGGGAUUCAGAGGAUCAAGCACAAAAUGAAGGCAAUAGUAAUAAGGUAACACUUUCAGGGCUAUUGAAUUUUGUGGAUGAACUUUAUUCAUGUUGUGGAGAAGGAAGAAUCAUGGUGUUCACCACCAAUUACAAAGACAAACUAGACUCUGCUUUAAUUAGACCUGGUAGAAUGGAUAUGCAUAUUUGCUUGUCAUAUUGCAAUGCUUCUGGGUUUGAGCAACUUGCUUUUAAUUAUCUUGGGAUUCAUGGUCAUGCUUUGUUUGAUGAAAUCAAAGGGCUUUUGAAAGAGAUUGAGGUUACUCCGGCUGAAGUGGCUGGUGAGUUGGUGAAAAGCAGAGAUCCUGAUACUUCCCUUCAAGGAUUUUUGAGUUUCCUUCACAACAAGAGAAACCAAUAAAGCAACAAGAAUUGAUUGUGAAGAUUUCUUUGAUUAUUGGUGGUGAAGAAAAAAUGAAGAACGUGAGCAUUUUGGCUUCUGGGGUCUAUCUUUUCAACUUGAUCCGGAGGAGUUUAUGAAGAACCAGAGGAGAGGAGAAAAACAGUGAAGGUUCACUAUUUUACCGUAGUUUCGUUGAGAACCAGCUCAUGAGGACUGCAGAACUUAGUGGAUGGACUUUUGUUCCUAUGUUGAAGAAAGAAUAAUCAUGAUAUUCACCACCAAUUACAAAGAAAAACUUGACCCUGCUAUUGUGAGACCUGAGAUUGAGGUCACUCCAUCAGUAGUGGCUGGGGAGUUGGUCAAAAGCAGAGUUCCUGAAACUACUAUCCUUUUAGGCCUUAUGAGUUUCUUUCACAAUAACAGAAACCAACAAAGCAACAAGAACUUAU